rnacentral:rRNA from 1 species
UACGUAGGGGGCAAGCGUUGUCCGGAUUUACUGGGUGUAAAGGGGGCGCAGACGGCGAUGCAAGCCAGGAGUGGAAGCCCGGGGCCCAACCCCGGGACUGCUCUUGGAACUGCGUGGCUGGAGUGCAGGAGGGGCAGGCGGAAUUCCUGGUGUAGCGGUGAAAUGCGUAGAUAUCAGGAGGAACACCGGUGGCGAAGGCGGCCUGCUGGACUGCAACUGACGUUGAGGCCCGAAAGCGUGGGGAGCAAACAGG